UGGCCAUAUGAUAUUAAUGUCAGAGGUGAAAUCUGAUUGUAAGGCUAACGUAUGCGAAGCAUUGCCAAGGAGUUCAUUAUCAAGAACGAAGAUAGGAUCAAAGCAAUCAGAUACGUUCGUAGUCAUUCUUAAACUAGCGCUAGGGAUGAUGAAACAUCACAUUCAGUACUUAUGAGAAUCAAAGUCUUGGUCUGGGGGGAGUAUGUCGCAAGACUGAAACUUAAAGAAAUUGACGAAGGGCACGACCAGGAGUGGAGCAUGCGCCUUAAUUUGACUCAACACGGGAAACUAACAAGAUCAAAGACGAUAGUAAGGAUUGACAGAUUGAUAGCUCUUUCUUGAUGCGCCUGUGUGCGUGCCGUCUUAGUUGGUGGAGUGAUUUGUCUGGUAAAUCCGAUAACGAACGAGACCUUAACCUGCUAAAUUAGUCGUCCCCAUUUUAUGGGAUAUGACUUCUUAGAGGGACUAUGCAUAUCAAGUGCAAAGAAAGUUUGAGGCAAUAACAGGUCUGUGAUGCCCUUAUAUGUCCUGGGCUGCACGCGUGCUACACUGAUGCAUACAACAAGUGCCUAGCUAGACAUAGUAUGGCAAUCUGGAAUAUGCAUCGUGAUGGGGAUAGAUCUUUGCAAUUAUAGAUCUUGAACGAGGAAUUCCUAGUAAGUGCAAGUCAUCAUCUUGCAUGAUUAUGUCCCUGCCCUGUGUACACACCGCCCGUCGCUCCUACCGAUACCGGGUGAUCCGGUGAACCUGUUGGACCCUUUGGGAAAAAUAACUAAUUCAUAUCACAAAGAGGAAGGAGAAGUGAACAAGUAACCGGCUCCCGUUCCCAGUCUCUU
rnacentral:rRNA from 1 species